GACGAACGCUGGCGGCGCGCCUAAUACAUGCAAGUAGAACGCUGAAGGAGGAGCUUGCUUCUCUGGAUGAGUUGCGAACGGGUGAGUAACGCGUAGGUAACCUGCCUGGUAGCGGGGGAUAACUAUUGGAAACGAUAGCUAAUACCGCAUAAUAGUAGAUGUUGCAUGACAUUUGCUUAAAAGGUGCAAUUGCAUCACUACCAGAUGGACCUGCGUUGUAUUAGCUAGUUGGUGGGGUAACGGCUCACCAAGGCGACGAUACAUAGCCAACCUGAGAGGGUGAUCGGCCACACUGGGACUGAGACACGGCCCAGACUCCUACGGGAGGCAGCAGUAGGGAAUCUUCGGCAAUGGACGGAAGUCUGACCGAGCAACGCCGCGGGAGUGAAGAAGGGUGUCGGAUCGUAAAGCUCUGUUGUAAGAGAAGAACGAGUGUGAGAGUGGAAAGUUCACACUGUGACGGUAUCUUACCAGAAAGGGACGGCUAACUACGUG
rnacentral:rRNA from 1 species